AGCACAAUUGCUGGGUUGUAUGGUUAAGAAUAUGAUUAGUUUUGUGAGAAACUGCCAAAUUAUCUUCCAAAGUGGCUGUACCAUUUUGCAUUCCCACCAGCAAU
rnacentral:pre_miRNA from 1 species